GUUUGGCACCUCGAUGUCGGCUCAUCACAUCCUGGGGCUGAAGCCGGUCCCAAGGGUAUGGCUGUUCGCCAUUUAAAGUGGUACGCGAGCUGGGUUUAGAACGUCGUGAGACAGUUCGGUCCCUAUCUGCCGUGGGCGUUGGAAAGUUGAGAAGAGCUGCUUCUAGUACGAGAGGACCGAAGUGGACGAACCUCUGGUGUUCCGGUUGUCAUGCCAAUGGCAUUGCCGGGUAGCUAUGUUCGGACGGGAUAAGCGCUGAAAGCAUCUAAGCGCGAAGCCUCCUUCAAGAUUAGCUUUCCCUGAUUCUUUAAGAAUCCUGUAGGGCCGUAGAAGACUACUACGUUGAUAGGCUGGGUGUGGAAGCGUUGUAAGGCGUUGAGCUAACCAGUACUAAUUGCCCGUGAGGCUUGACCAU
rnacentral:ncRNA from 1 species